CGAUACUUCGCUAGCGCGACUCUCCGUCCAAGCGAUUUUAUUAUUCUAACGUCAGCCGUUGUCCGUGGUGCAAUCGAAAGCCAUGCGUGCAAGGCAAAGAGAGGAAAGCAGCAAGCAAUACCAAAGCGAGCGAGCGAUCAAUCCCACCGACGACGGAAUUUGCUAUACCAAGCGUGGUUAGCAACAUGGAGACGAUUUCUAAACGAAUAUAUUUAAUCUAACUACUUUGCUCAUAGUGACAAAUCAAAAGUUUCCUAAAAAUAUAAAGAGAAGAAAAACAAAUAUAUAUGUAUUGCGAUCGUUGUUGUCGUUGUUGUUGUCGCUGUUGAUGUGAUUUAAUGUGCGAAUGAAAAAAUGAAGGGAGGAACUGAUGAUUCAAAGAUUAAUACGAUACGCUACUCCUAAUACAUUUUCUUCGGACUUUUAUAUUUUCUACUCGACACCUAUAUCUACAUCUUCUUCAUCGAACAGUAUCACUAUCGUUUGUAAUAAUAAAACGAACAUGCUGGAGUGUACGUACAUAUUUGUACGAACAAUAACUGCGGGAGACAAUCGAACGAGCCAGUGUUAAUAAGUGAGCAGACAAUGAUCGACAAAUCAAUUAGAGACACAACAGAAAGAGAUAGAAAUAAAGAUAGAUAGAUAGAUAGAUAGAUAGA